UUUCCGUAGGUGAACCUGCGGAAGGAUCAUUAAAAAAUUGGACUCCAUUGGUGAGUUCAUUAAUAAUCCCUACCCUUUGUGAAUUUGUUUGUUUGAAUAAUUUUUUUUCCAAAAAAAAAUUAUUGAAUGUCUUUCCCUGUUUUGGUGGAGCUUGUAAAGUGAAACCAGGCAGGGGAAUGGCAAACAAUAAUUAUUUUUUGAAAAAAGACCUUUUUUAAAAUUAAACUUUUUGUAUUCAUUUGUCUAAAAUUAUUUUUAUAAUAUAAAAACAACUUUUGACAAUGGAUCUCUUGGUUCUCGCAACGAUGAAGAACGCAGCAAAAUGCGAUAAGUAGUGUGAAUUGCAGAAUACGUGAAUCAUCGAAUCUUCGAACGCAUAUUGCACUUUUUUAGUUUACUAAAAAAGUAUGUCUGUUUGAGUAUCAGUAAAAUAUUCUCAUAAAAAACAUUGUUUUUUUAUGGUUAUGAGUGUUUUACAACGAUAACAAGUUGUUUCACUUUAAAUUCUUUGUUAUCAAAAAAAUCAUUAAAAGCUAAUUUUAAAGAUUUUUUAAAAUUGGAUAAAAUUUUCCCGUAAAAAGGAAUAACCUAAACAAUUUUAAAAAAUUAAAAUUGGUUUGAUUUCUUUUGAAACCCAAAGGAAAAAAAACGAAAUUAACUUGAUCUCAAAUCAGAUAAGAGUACCCGCUGAACUUAAGCAUAUCAAUAAGCGGAGGAAAAGAAACUAACUAGGAUUCCCUCAGUAACGGCGAGUGAAGCGGGAAGAGCUCAAAUUUGAAAUCUUCAAGGUUUUACCUUGACGAAUUGUAGUUUAAAGAAGUGUUUUCUGUUGGAGUUUUGGUAAAAGUUCUUUGGAAAAGGACAUCAUAGAGGGUGAGAAUCCCGUAUUUGACCAUUAUCUCCAGCUUUGUGAUACACUUUCAAAGAGUCGGAUUGUUUGGGAAUGCAGUCCAAAAUGGGUGGUAAAUUUCAUCUAAAGCUAAAUACUGGCGAGAGACCGAUAGCGAACAAGUACCGUGAGGGAAAGAUGAAAAGAACUUUGAAAAGAGAGUUAAACAGUACGUGAAAUUGUCAAAAGGGAAGCGUUUGACACCAGUGUUGUUUUCUCGAAAAUCAAUUAAAAAAGGCCGGAUUUUGUGUUGUAUUGACUUUAUCAGCUUUCUGCACUUUUUUCUUGUCUUUUUUAAUGCACUUUUCGUUUAACAAGACAACAUCAAUUUCUUUUGUUGUAAAAGGGUCAUGGAAGGUGGCUUUCUUUUCGGAGAAAGUGUUUAUAGCCUUGUGCCUCUGCAAUCGGAGAGAUUGAGGUCUGCAGCGUAGAUCCUUCGGGGUUAGAUACAUUUGUGCUAAGUUAUAGCUUUUCAUAGACAACUUGUUGACUAUGAUCAGUCAUGUAGCUUACUCGCUUAUGCUAUUUUACCUACGCUUAGGAUGUUG
rnacentral:misc_RNA from 1 species